UCCUUAUUUUCUCUAUAAUCCUCAAAUGAUGCGCAGCUUUCUUUGUAAAGCUUGUGAAGAGAGGAAUUUUGCAGAAAUUAUGUGAAUUGUUCGGAUUACAGCAGAAUUCAUCUCCUUUCUUGAAAGAAUAACUCACUCACAACUUCACUUACAAGUUUAUUCCAGUUCUAUCUGUUUACAGAAAUGAACUUUUUACAAACCUUCAUUGAUGAUGAUGGACUUAAGAGAGCAGAUGAAAUUUCACCUGCACUUUUGAAAGCAAUUGAAGAAUCAAAGAUUUCAGUAAUCAUUUUCUCAGAAGGAUAUGCUUCUUCCAAAUGGUGUUUGGAUGAACUUGUGAAGAUUCUUGAAUGCAAGGAAAAGAAUGGCCAAGUGGUCAUGCCGGUCCUUUUUCAUGUCAAUCCAUCAGAUGUGAGGAAAGAAACUGGAAGCUUUAAAGAUGCUUUAGCUAAGCAUGAAAUUUUUUUCAAAAAAAUACCAGAAAAAAUCCGGAGGUGGAGAGCUGCUUUGACUCAAGUGUCCAACAUCUGGAUGGGCUUCAAUGGAAAUUAGGCCUGAGUCCAAACUUGUAGCUGAAAUUGUCAAACAAAUAUCGAAGAAAUUAAAUGACAUAUCACCCCCAAGUGAUUUUGAAGGCUUUGUUGGAAUAGGUUCCCACAGUGAUCGUAUUAAAUCCCUUUUAACUGCUUUAAGUAUUGAAUUGUUAGAUUUUAAAAUUGUAGGUAUUUGGGGUAUGGGUGGUAUAGGUAAAACAACAAUUGCUGGAGUUCUGUUUAACCAAAUUUCUAGCCAAUUUGAAGGUUGCUCCUUCAUUGCAAAUGUUAGGGAAGAAUAAAAAAAAUGUGGACUAGUUCAUCUAAGAAAGCAACUUCUUUCCCAGAUACUAGAAGAAGAAAAUCUCACCUUAGGUACUCCAACUAUACCAAAACAUAUUAAGAAGAGACUUCAGUGUAAAAUGGUUUUCAUUGUUCUGAUGAUGUCAUUGAUAUAGAGCAAUUGGAAUUUUUAAUCGGAGGAAUUGAUGAACUUGGUCCAAGAAGUAGAGUCAUUGUAACCAGUAGAGAUAAACAAGUGCUUUGCAAUUAUAGAGUGGAUUACAUAUAUGAAGUUAAAGGAUUCAAGUAUCAUGAAGCUCUCCAACUCUUUUCCACUUAUGCCUUCAAACAAAAAUAUCCCCCUAAAACUUUUUGGGAGUUGUCAAGCAAGGUAGUCGAUUAUGCCACAGGCAACCCGUUAGCUCUUAAAACAUUGGGUUCCUCAUUAUAUGGAAAGAGCAUACAAGAUUGGGAGAGUGUAUUGCAGAAACUCAAAAGCAUUUCCAAUCCGAAAAUUCACCAUGUUUUGAAGCAUGGUUCAGAUGUCAAGUUGCUUAAUCAUUCGGAUGCUCCACAGCUGGAACAUUGCCAAAGUUUGCUUGAAAUUCCCUCUUCUAGCCAAUAUCUCACCAACCUUCGUAUCUCAUUUCUUUAUGGCUGCAAAAGUCUAAGGACUUUUCCAAGCAACAUACAUUUCAAAACUCUUAUCAGCUGAGAUGGCUAUGGUUACGCUAUUGCAAGAAGCUUCAAUCAAUACCAGAGCUUCCACAGGCACUAGAACAUUUAGAUGCAAGCAAUCGCAGGCGACUCCAAUCAAUACCAGUGCCUCCAUCAAAUCUAGAAAGAUUAGAUGAAUCAGAACUGGAAAUAGUAUCUGAAAGCCUUUACUCAUCUUCAGGCUGGCGUAUAGGAUUCAUAUUUACAAACUUCUUGAACCUGAGUCGGAAUGCAGACAACAACAUUUUGACAAAUUCACAGCAAAGAAUUCAACAUAUGGAAACUGUAGCACUAAGAUUUUGUUCUGCAAAGGAACAUGAUAAAAUACAUAAAGUCAGCUUAUAUUUACCUGGGAGUGAAAUUCCUGGGUGAUUCAGCCAUCAAAGUUCAGGAUCUUCAAUUACUAUUAAGCUACCUCAACAUUGGAGUAACAUAAAGUUGAUUGGUUUUGCUAUAUCCGUCGUUCUUGCAUUUGAGACAAGUUAUCAUGGAGAUGUUUUUGUAGUUAAAGUGCUCAAUUUUGUAGGCCUGACUUUGAAG